rnacentral:rRNA from 1 species
AAAUGAAUAGACGGGGACCCGCACAAGCGGUGGAGCGUGUUCUUUAAUUCGAUGUUAAACGAAGAACCUUACCCAGACUUGACAUCCUUGGAAGGUCUGCGAAAGCAGACUGUGCCUUUGGAACCAAGUGACAGGUGUUGCAUGGCCGUCGUCAGCUCGUGUCGUGAGAUGUAGGGUUAAGUCCCUUAACGAGCGCAACCCUUAUGUUUAGUUGAAUUUUUCUAAACAGACUGCCUCGGUAACGGGGAGGAAGGAGGGGAUGAAGUCAGGUCUGUAUUGCCCUUACGUCUGGGGCUAGAAACGCGCUACAAUGGCUAGUACAAAGGGCAGCCAACCCGCAAGGGGGAGCUAAUCCCGACAAAGCUAGUCUCAGUUCGGAUUGCAGGCUGAAACUCGCCUGCAUGAAGCUGGAAUCGCUAGUAACCGUAAGUCAGCAAAUUACGGUGAAUACGUUCCCGGGUCUUGUACACACCGCCCGU